rnacentral:rRNA from 1 species
UAUUUUCCAAUGGGCGAAAGCCUGAGAAUGCGACGCCGCGUGCGGGAUGAAGGCCUUCGGGUCGUAAACCGCUGUCGGACCGGAAGAAUACCUGUCCAUUAAAUAUAUGGAUCGGUUGACGGUACGGUCGAAGGAAGCCACGGCCAACUCCGUGCCAGCAGCCGCGGUAAUACGGAGGUGGCGAGCGUUGCUCGGAUUCAUUGGGUGUAAAGGGUCGGUAGGCGGUUCGGUAAGUGCCCGGUGAAAUUCUACGGCUCAACCGUAGAGCGUUCGGGUAGACUGCCAAACUUGAGGGCUGGAGGGGCAGGCGGAAUUCCCGGUGUAAGAGUGAAAUCUGUAGAUAUCGGGAGGAACACCAGUGGCGAAGGCGGCCUGCUGGACAGCACCUGACGCUAGCGACGAAA